AGUGAACGCUGGCGGUAGGCCUAACACAUGCAAGUCGAACGGCAGCACAGUAAGAGCUUGCUCUUACGGGUGGCGAGUGGCGGACGGGUGAGGAAUACAUCGGAAUCUACUUUUUCGUGGGGGAUAACGUAGGGAAACUUACGCUAAUACCGCAUACGACCUACGGGUGAAAGCAGGGGAUCUUCGGACCUUGCGCGAUUGAAUGAGCCGAUGUCGGAUUAGCUAGUUGGCGGGGUAAAGGCCCACCAAGGCGACGAUCCGUAGCUGGUCUGAGAGGAUGAGGAGCCAAAGUGGAAAUGAGAGACGGGGGAGACCCGGACGGGAGGCAGAAGGGGGGAAUAUUGGAGAAUGGGAGCAAGCCUGAUCCAGCUAUAGAGCGGGGAGGAAGAAGGCCGUUGGGUUGUAAAGCUUUUUUGGUGGGAAAGAAAAGAAGCAAGUGAAUAACCCGGUGCUCUGAAGGUAGCAAAAGAACAAGAAAGGGAUAAACUAGUG
rnacentral:rRNA from 1 species